AAUGGAGGAAACUCUGAUGCAGCCAUGCCGCGUGUAUGAAGAAGGCCUUCGGGUUGUAAAGUACUUUCAGCGAGGAGGAAAGGUUAGUAGUUAAUAACUGCUAGCUGUGACGUUACUCGCAGAAGAAGGACCGGCUAACUCCGUGCCAGCAGCCGCGGUAAUACGGAGGGUCCGAGCGUUAAUCGGAAUUACUGGGCGUAAAGCGUACGCAGGCGGUUUGUUAAGCGAGAUGUGAAAGCCCCGGGCUCAACCUGGGAACUGCAUUUCGAACUGACAAACUAGAGUUUUGUAGAGGGUGGUAGAAUUUCAGGUGUAGCGGUGAAAUGCGUAGAGAUCUGAAGGAAUACCAGUGGCGAAGGCGGCCACCUGGACAAUAACUGACGCUCAUGUACGAAAGCGUGGGGAGCAAACGGGAUU
rnacentral:rRNA from 1 species